AGCAAAAAUCCCAGCAAUGAUUUCUCCCUUUUCAACCAUUAACUGUAUCUCAAAAUUGGUGUAUAGCUUGGUCUUGAAGUCCUUCAAUACCAUGCCAAUUUUCACCUUAAUCCAAUUGAUAGAUCUUUAGAUAUCAUAGAAAUCCUACCCAACCUCAAACUACCACCUUCAGAAAUCUUCUUGUGCUAAAAACUAGAUAUCUCUAAACCACAUUGUUAGAUUAUCACAAAAUUAUGUAUACACUUAGCACACCCAAUAAUCCAAAUAGUACCAAGUUUUCAACCGUAGAUGUCACACCAAUUGCACGAACUAGCCAAAAUUGCUAGCUCUAAUUAUAUUAUAUAAAAUCCAAAUCAUUGAUACAAACCUUGACUUUGAACAAAAAUUGCUAAGUCUUCCAAAACCCUCUCAAAAUAAUUCUUACAUCUCUGGAAAGAACUUCAAGCUAGCUCUCAAAUCCUAAUCUUCAAUCUUCGAAUGAUUCCCUAUUUUGCCCUAGGCCGUCGUUUUAGUGGCCAAAGGUCUGAUUUCGACCCUAUCUCACAAAUGGUCGACCCUCGGAUAUCAAUCUAAUCUA
rnacentral:lncRNA from 1 species